rnacentral:rRNA from 1 species
GAACGCUGGCGGCAGGCCUAACACAUGCAAGUCGAGCGGAAACGAUGGAAGCUUGCUUCCAGGCGUCGAGCGGCGGACGGGUGAGUAAUGCAUAGGAAUCUGCCCGAUAGUGGGGGAUAACGUGGGGAAACCCACGCUAAUACCGCAUACGUCCUACGGGAGAAAGCAGGGGAUCUUCGGACCUUGCGCUAUCGGAUGAGCCUAUGUCGGAUUAGCUAGUUGGUGAGGUAAUGGCUCACCAAGGCGACGAUCCGUAGCUGGUCUGAGAGGAUGAUCAGCCACACUGGGACUGAGACACGGCCCAGACUCCUACGGGAGGCAGCAGUGGGGAAUAUUGGACAAUGGGGGAAACCCUGAUCCAGCCAUNCCGCGUGUGUGAAGAAGGCCUUCGGGUUGUAAAGCACUUUCCGGGAGGAAGAAGGCCUGAGGGUUAAUACCCUUCAGGAAGGACAUCACUCGCAGAAGAAGCACCGGCUAACUCCGUGCCAGCAGCCGCGGUAAUACGGAGGGUGCGAGCGUUAAUCGGAAUUACUGGGCGUAAAGCGCGCGUAGGUGGCUUGAUAAGCCGGUUGUGAAAGCCCCGGGCUCAACCUGGGAACGGCAUCCGGAACUGUCAGGCUAGAGUGCAGGAGAGGAAGGUAGAAUUCCCGGUGUAGCGGUGAAAUGCGUAGAGAUCGGGAGGAAUACCAGUGGCGAAGGCGGCCUUCUGGACUGACACUGACACUGAGGUGCGAAAGCGUGGGUAGCAAACAGGAUUAGAUACCCUGGUAGUCCACGCCGUAAACGAUGUCGACUAGCCGUUGGGUUCCUUGAGAACUUUGUGGCGCAGUUAACGCGAUAAGUCGACCGCCUGGCGUAGUACGGCCGCAAGGUUAAAACUCAAAUGAAUUGACGGGGGCCCGCACAAGCGGUGGAGCAUGUGGUUUAAUUCGAUGCAACGCGAAGAACCUUACCUACCCUUGACAUCCAGNGAACUUGGUAGAGAUACCUUGGUGCCUUCGGGAACUCUCAGACAGGUGCUGCAUGGCUGUCGUCAGCUCGUGUUGUGAAAUGUUGGGUUAAGUCCCGUAACGAGCGCAACCCUUGUCCCUAUUUGCCAGCGAUUCGGUCGGGAACUCUAGGGAGACUGCCGGUGACAAACCGGAGGAAGGUGGGGACGACGUCAAGUCAUCAUGGCCCUUACGGGUAGGGCUACACACGUGCUACAAUGGUCGGUACAAAGGGUUUCAAUUCCGCGAGGUGGAGCUAAUCCCAUAAAACCGAUCUCAGUCCGGAUCGGAGUCUGCAACUCGACUCCGUGAAGUCGGAAUCGCUAGUAAUCGUGAAUCAGAAUGUCACGGUGAAUACGUUCCCGGGCCUUGUACACACCGCCCGUCACACCAUGGGAGUGGACUGCACCAGAAGUGGUUAGCUUAACCUUCGGGGGAGCGAUCACCACGGUGUGGUUCAUGACUGGGGUGAAGUCGUAACAAGGUAUCCGU